rnacentral:rRNA from 1 species
AGAGUUUGAUCCUGGCUCAGGACGAACGCUGGCGGCGUGCUUAACACAUGCAAGUCGAGCGGAAAGGCCCUUCGGGGUACUCGAGCGGCGAACGGGUGAGUAACACGUGAGUAACCUGCCCCUGACUCUGGGAUAAGCCCGGGAAACUGGGUCUAAUACCGGAUAUGACAUUUUGCCGCAUGGUAUGGGUGUGGAAAGUUUUUUCGGUUGGGGAUGGGCUCGCGGCCUAUCAGCUUGUUGGUGGGGUGAUGGCCUACCAAGGCGACGACGGGUAGCCGGCCUGAGAGGGCGACCGGCCACACUGGGACUGAGACACGGCCCAGACUCCUACGGGAGGCAGCAGUGGGGAAUAUUGCGCAAUGGGCGGAAGCCUGACGCAGCGACGCCGCGUGGGGGAUGACGGCCUUCGGGUUGUAAACCUCUUUCAGCAGGGACGAAGUUGACGUGUACCUGUAGAAGAAGCGCCGGCUAACUACGUGCCAGCAGCCGCGGUAAUACGUAGGGCGCAAGCGUUGUCCGGAAUUAUUGGGCGUAAAGAGCUCGUAGGUGGCUUGUUGCGUCUGCCGUGAAAGCCCGUGGCUUAACUACGGGUCUGCGGUGGAUACGGGCAGGCUAGAGGCUGGUAGGGGCAAGCGGAAUUCCUGGUGUAGCGGUGAAAUGCGCAGAUAUCGGAGGAACACCGGUGGCGAAGGCGGCUUGCUGGGCCAGUUCUGACGCUGAGGAGCGAAAGCGUGGGGAGCGAACAGGAUUAGAUACCCCCGUAGUCC